ACUUCCUAAAUAAUAAUAAUAGUAAUAAUAGAAUUCUUAAAUAAUAGAAAUAAUAUUAGUAUUUCCUUAAUAAUAUAAAUAUAAUCUUCCUAAUUUUACAGAAAAAUAUUAAAUAAAAAAAAUCUGUAAAUCUGGUCUUCUUAUACUCCUUCAAAAAGCAGGGGAGGGAAAGGGAAGUAAAAUAUUAAAGUUAUCAACAUUUCCUUAGUUACAAAAUAAUAUAUAAAUCGCUCUUGCUAAAUUUUUGCUAACAUAAUGCAUUCCUUUAGUUUAAUACAAUAUUAUAUCAAAACUAUCUUAACCUACAAUAAGAAAAAAUAAAUAAACUUUGACUCAUUUUCCAUUGAAAAAAAAUCAUUUAAUAAUAAUUAUUGUCAAAUUUUUACAUAAUUGAAAAAACCUUUCAAUUUUUAUGAUUUUAUUUAAUACAUAGUGUUCAAACAAGUAAAAUAAUAAAGAAUAUUAAUUUUUAUGUAGUGUAAAUAAAAAAUAAUGAAACACAAGUAAUCAAGGAAAAGGGAAAAAAAAAGAAAAGAAAUUCUAUUCAAGAUUUGAAAAGAACUGAGGAGGCCGCAGGUGCCGUGAAGAGGGAAAGAAAUUCUAUUCAAGAUUUGAAAAGAACUGAGGAGGCCGCAGGUGCCGUGAAGAGGGAAAGAAAAAAAGAAAACACACUGAAGGUAAGACAGAAGCUGCCACUGAUGGGCUUAUAUGACAAGGGUGAAAUUGGGCUUCUGUUUUUCCUU
rnacentral:misc_RNA from 1 species